AUGCAGCUAACUAACUUGACUCAGCUCGGUUACUACCUCCACCAAGCGAACUCUAUGCAGCUAACUAACCACACUGCAUGCAUGCUGACUAAACUGAUUCACCAAUUCCCUCGGCUAGUACUAGUACACCCUGUUGGCCUCAGCACUUGCACCACAGCUUCAUGCAGCACGCACACUCGCCACGGCGCAGCGUCCCGCACGUCCCGCGCGCACCUAACACGCCCGACGAGCCCGACCGCACCAGACGCCGUGGCUUAUUCCAACACACACCCCCUAAGCCACGGCCUCGCCGUCCAUCCUGACAGGACUCCGGCCUCUUGUCGACUGCCACGGAGAACGCCCUUCUUCACCUCCGGCGACACACGCCGCAGCUUCUCUUCUCGGUGCACUGACGCCGCCGGCCGCAACUACGGCUGA
rnacentral:rRNA from 1 species